rnacentral:rRNA from 1 species
CCAGACUCCUACGGGAGGCAGCAGUGGGGAAUAUUGGACAAUGGACCGAGAGUCUGAUCCAGCAAUUCUGUGUGCACGAUGAAGUUUUUCGGAAUGUAAAGUGCUUUCAGUUGGGAAGAAAAAAAUGACGGUACCAACAGAAGAAGUGACGGCUAAAUACGUGCCAGCAGCCGCGGUAAUACGUAUGUCACAAGCGUUAUCCGGAUUUAUUGGGCGUAAAGCGCGUCUAGGUGGUUAUGUAAGUCUGAUGUGAAAAUGCAGGGCUCAACUCUGUAUUGCGUUGGAAACUGUGUAACUAGAGUACUGGAGAGGUAAGCGGAACUACAAGUGUAGAGAUGAAAUUCGUAGAUAUUUGUAGGAAUGCCGAUGGGGAAGCCAGCUUACUGGACAGAUACUGACGCUGAAGCGCGAAAGCGUGGGUAGCAAACAGGAUUAGAUACCCUGGUAGUCCACGCCGUAAACGAUGAUUACUAGGUGUUGGGGGUCGAACCUCAGCGCCCAAGCAAACGCGAUAAGUAAUCCGCCUGGGGAGUACGUACGCAAGUAUGAAACUCAAAGGAAUUGACGGGGGCCCGCACAAG